AUGAGUCCUGUCCAGUCCCUGUUUUUAUUAUUGCUUUGGAUUCUGGGAACCAACGGUGAUGUUGUGCUGACCCAGACUCCAUCCACAUUAUCAGCUACCAUUGGACAAUCGGUCUCCAUCUCUUGCAGGUCAAGUCAGAGUCUCUUAGAUAGUGAUGGAAACACCUAUUUAUAUUGGUUCCUACAGAGGCCAGGCCAAUCUCCGCAGCUUCUAAUUUAUUUGGUAUCCAACCUGGAAUCUGGGGUCCCCAACAGGUUCAGUGGCAGUGGGUCAGGAACAGAUUUCACACUCAAAAUCAGUGGAGUGGAAGCUGAGGAUUUGGGAGUUUAUUACUGCAUGCAAGCUACCCAUGCUCCUCCCACAGUGAUACAGACCCUAACAAAAAAUGUCCUUGCUUGA